GACGAACGCUGGCGGCGUGCUUAACACAUGCAAGUCGAACGGAAGGGCCCUGCUUUUGUGGGGUGCUCGAGUGGCGAACGGGUGAGUAACACGUGAGUAACCUGCCCUUGACUUUGGGAUAACUUCAGGAAACUGGGGCUAAUACCGGAUAGGAGCUCCUGCUGCAUGGUGGGGGUUGGAAAGUUUCGGCGGUUGGGGAUGGACUCGCGGCUUAUCAGCUUGUUGGUGGGGUAGUGGCUUACCAAGGCUUUGACGGGUAGCCGGCCUGAGAGGGUGACCGGCCACAUUGGGACUGAGAUACGGCCCAGACUCCUACGGGAGGCAGCAGUGGGGAAUAUUGCACAAUGGGCGGAAGCCUGAUGCAGCAACGCCGCGUGCGGGAUGACGGCCUCCGGGUUGUAAACCGCUUUCGCCUGUGACGAAGCGUGAGUGACGGUAAUGGGUAAAGAAGCACCGGCUAACUACGUGCCAGCCGCCGCGGUAAAAC
rnacentral:rRNA from 1 species